ensembl:lincRNA linc-42 ncRNA
UAAAUGUUCUGUUGAAAAUAUUUUCAUUCAUUUGUCUUUUGAGGGUUGCUGUGUGCAGCCCGAAUUAUUAUUUUCUCAAAUUUAUUGAUUUUUCUGAAUAUUUUAAAAAUUCAAAAAUUGGGCGGGAAACAAAGUUCCUCAUGCACGAUCACGAUUCCAAUGAUGUUGUGAAAACCUCGUGAUGCCUAAGAUUACCAAAAACAUUGUAGAAGCUGGGAAUGCUCGUAUCGUUGCCGGAGCAUCCCAGAGCACAUCUCGGAACAGAAAUGUGAAUGGCCAAACAUUGCAAAUUUCUUAUUUAAUACCAAUUGUAUUAUUUCUUCCUUACAAUAAACUUUCUGAAUUUCU